UACCCGCUGAGUUUAACAUAUCAAUAAG
rnacentral:rRNA from 1 species